UACGUAGGGACCAAGCGUUGUUCGGAUUUACUGGGCGUAAAGAGCGUGUAGGCGGUCCGGUAAGUCAGCUGUGAAAGUCAAGGGCUCAACCCUUGAAAGCCGGUUGAUACUGUCGGGCUAGAGUCCGGAAGAGGCGAGUGGAAUUCCCGGUGUAGCGGUGAAAUGCGCAGAUAUCGGGAGGAACACCAAUGGCGAAGGCAGCUCGCUGGGACGGUACUGACGCUGAGACGCGAAAGCGUGGGGAGCAAACAGG
rnacentral:rRNA from 1 species